UAGGGAAUAUUAGAAAUGGACGAAAGUCUGAUCUAGCAACACCGCGUGUGCGAAGAAGGCCUUCGGGUUGUAAAGCGCUUUUUGAGAGGAUGAGGAAGGACAGUACUCUUAGAAUAAGUCUCGGCUAACUACGUGCCAGCAGCCGCGGUAACACGUAGGAGGCAAACGUUAUCCGGAUUUACUGGGCGUAAAGCGCGUGUAGGUGGUUUGGUAAGUAGAGCGUGAAAGCUCCUGGCUCAACUGGGAGAGGUCGUUCUAAACUGCCGGACUAGAGGAUGGUAGAGGGAGGUGGAAUUCCAGGUGUAGCGGUGGAAUGCGCAGAUAUCUGGAGGAACACCAGUGGCGAAGGCGGCCUCCUGGACCAUUCCUGACACUCAGACGCGAAAGCUAGGGUAGCAAACG
rnacentral:rRNA from 1 species